UCCUACGGGAGGCAGCAGUGGGGAAUCUUGGACAAUGGGCGCAAGCCUGAUCCAGCCAUGCCGCGUGAGUGAAGAAGGCCUUCGGGUUGUAAAGCUCUUUUGUCAGGGACGAUAAUGACGGUACCUGAAGAAUAAGCCCCGGCUAACUUCGUGCCAGCAGCCGCGGUAAUACGAAGGGGGCUAGCGUUGUUCGGAAUUACUGGGCGUAAAGCGCACGUAGGCUGAUACUUAAGUGAGGGGUGAAAUCCCGAGGCUCAACCUCGGAACUGCCUUUCAUACUGGGUAUCCCGAGUCCGGAAGAGGUUAGUGGAAUUCCCAGUGUAGAGGUGAAAUUCGUAGAUAUUGGGAAGAACACCAGUGGCGAAGGCGGCUAACUGGUCCGGUACUGACGCUGAGGUGCGAAAGCGUGGGGAGCAAACAGGAUUAGAUACCCCGGUAGC
rnacentral:rRNA from 1 species